ACCAAAUCUCUUUGCCUUUUGGCUUAGAUCCAGUGUAGUAUCUGUUCUUUUCAGUGUAACAACUGAAAUGUCAUCAUUGAUGACUUUACAUUUAUGUUACAAAUUUAUUUAUUUUUGGAUAUUGGGUAGAUUGAUUUAUUAAAGUGGGCUUGCUCACAGUCUUUCUACAUAGUGUCGUUGCCACUGUACUUUUAUUUUGGCUUCUGACGCAAAUU
rnacentral:snRNA from 2 species